UCUAGGUAGUUGGUGGUGUAAUGGACCACCAAGCCUUCGAUCGAUACGGGCCUUGAGAGAGGUAGCCCGGAGAGGAACACUGAGAAACUGGUUCCAGCCCUACGGGGUGCAGCAGGCGCGAAACCUUUACAAUGCACGCAAGUGUGAUAAGGGGAUCCUAAGUGCUCAUACUUUGUAUGGGCUUUUGUUAAGAGUAAAUAUCUUAGCGAAUAAGUGGUGGGUAAGACUGGUGCCAGCCGCCGCGGUAACACCACGCCACAAGUGGCAACCACGUUUAUUGGGCCUAAAGCGUCCGUAGCCGGUUUGGUAAAUCUCUUGUGAAAUCGACAAGCUCAACUUGUCGGCGUGCUUGAGACACUGCUAAACUCGAGACCGGGAGGAGUCAGAGGUAUUCCAGGGGGAGCGGUAAAAUGUGAUAAUCCUUGGAGGACCAUCUACGGCGAAGGCAUCUGACCAGAACGGAUCUGACGGUGAGGGACGAAGGCUAGGGGAGCGAUCCGGAUUAGAUACCCGAGUAGUCCUAGCAGUAAACGCUGUGAGCAAGAUGUUACGCAUCUUUUGAGGAUGCGUAGUGUCGAAAUGAAGAUGUUAAGCUCACCGCCUGGGAAGUACGGUCGCAAGACUGAAACUUUAAGGAAUUGGCGGGGGCGCACCACCAGGGGUGCGGCGUGCGGUUUAAUCUAACGAUACACAGAGAACCUUACUAGAAGCGACGGCAGGAAGAAGGUCAGCCUGAAGGGCUUACCCGACGAGCCGAGAGGUAGUGCAUGGCCGCCGUCAGCUCGUGCCGUAAGGUGUCCAGUUAAGUCUGGCAACGAGCGAGACCUAUACCCUCUAUUGCUAACAGCUACAUGUAGGACUGAGCACUUUGAGGGGACUGCCUUGGAAACAAGGAGGAAGGUGUAGGCAACGGUAGGUCUGUAUGCUCCGAAUCUUCUAGGCUACACGCGCGCAACAAUGGUAAUGACAAUGGGCUGCGACUCCGAAAGGAGAAGCUAAUCCUUCAAACAUUACCCCAGUUCGGAUCGCGGGUUGUAACUCACCCGCGUGACGCCGGAAUCCCUAGUAAACAGAUGUCAUCAUCUUCUGUUGAAUAUGUCCCUGCGCCUUGCACACACCGCCCGUCAAAUCAACCGAGCAGGAGUUUGGUAAAAUUCACUUUCUUGAGUAAAUUGAACCUAACUUCAGUGAGGCGGAUUAAGUCGUCACAAGGUA
rnacentral:rRNA from 1 species